rnacentral:rRNA from 1 species
AGCGCGCCUUCGGGCGAGCGGCGGACGGGUUAGUAACGCGUGGGAACGUGCCCAGAUCUACGGAAUAGCCACUGGAAACGGUGAGUAAUACCGUAUACGCCCUUAGGGGGAAAGAUUUAUCGGAUUUGGAUCGGCCCGCGUUAGAUUAGGUAGUUGGUGGGGUAACGGCCUACCAAGCCUACGAUCUAUAGCUGGUUUUAGAGGAUGAUCAGCAACACUGGGACUGAGACACGGCCCAGACUCCUACGGGAGGCAGCAGUGGGGAAUCUUGGACAAUGGGGGCAACCCUGAUCCAGCCAUGCCGCGUGAGUGAAGAAGGCCCUAGGGUCGUAAAACUCUUUCGCCUGUGAUGAUAAUGACAGUAGCAGGUAAAGAAACCCCGGCUAACUCCGUGCCAGCAGCCGCGGUAAUACGGAGGGGGUUAGCGUUGUUCGGAAUUACUGGGCGUAAAGCGCACGUAGGCGGAUUAGAAAGUUAGAGGUGAAAUCCCGGGGCUCAACCCCGGAACUGCACUUUAAAACUACUAGUCUAGAGUUCAGAGAGAGGUGAGUGGAAUUCCGAGUGUAGAGGUGAAAUUCGAAGAUAUUCGGAGGAACACCAAGUGGCGAAGGCGGUCACUGGCUCGAUACUGA